AAUAAUGUUAUGAAAGAACCGUCUGUUGUUAUAUUUAAAAUGUUUGCUCAGAGAGCACAGAGAUGAUAGCAAAUAAGUAAAGCUAACGUCAGCAGCCAUGGCACUGGACGAGCAAUCGUAAUUAUAAUCCAAAAGGGCAAACAGUCUAAAUUAUUAUGUAAGUUGACUCGAGAUACAAAAAAUGCAAAACUGCAAAGUCGCAUUUGUCAUCCAUCACCGUGAAAGCAAGUGGACUUUUGAAGCUGGAAUAAUGAGUGGAUUACGCAUUUAAAUUGGCAAGAGAGGAAUAACAUGGAUGGAACUUUCUUGGCGAGGAGGAUUGUGUGCAUCACAGUCAGGUACAAGGGAGAAGGCUUCUUACGUUAGGAGAAUCUGGACUCUGCUGCCUUUGGCACAUGAUGUGACAGAUAUUGCUGCUGCCGCCACCAUGUCGUGGAGACGCUGUGUGUUUCCAAAUAAGGUAAGAGGUGUAACAUUUCCCUCACAUGCUUGAAGUAUUCGGCCAAUCACAAUGCACUGGAUAGCUGGCCAAUCAGAGCACAUCUCGCUUUUCAGAACAAUGAGCUUUGUAAAAAUGUACGCAUUUCUGAAAGGCGAGGCAGAGAGGAGUAACAAUAAUGUGCGGUACAUGGUAAAAUUUUUUUUGUUUUUUUACCCUUAAAUCUCGUUAACACAUUACACCAAAUAAUGCUAUUUUUAGCAUAGUUUGCCUCCACUAUCUUCCUGUGCUUUUUAACUAUACUGUACAACUUACCCCUGUUCUUUACAUUCAAAUUGCCACAAUAAUCCACAAACAAUUCACAUGACUCCAAUCUGUCAAUUAAUGUUUUGUGAAGUGAAAAGCUGCAUGUUUGUAGGUAACAAAUCCAUCAAG
ensembl:lncRNA